rnacentral:rRNA from 1 species
UACGAAGGGGGCUAGCGUUGCUCGGAAUCACUGGGCGUAAAGCGCACGUAGGCGGCUGCUUAAGUCAGGGGUGAAAGCCUGGAGCUCAACUCCAGAACUGCCUUUGAUACUGAGAAGCUUGAGUCCGGGAGAGGUGAGUGGAACUGCGAGUGUAGAGGUGAAAUUCGUAGAUAUUCGCAAGAACACCAGUGGCGAAGGCGGCUCACUGGCCCGGUACUGACGCUGAGGUGCGAAAGCGUGGGGAGCAAACAGG